UGAUGACCCCCUUCUCAGCGGGUUCCACUGAUUAGUGAUCGAGAGUGACAACCGAGCGACUGAGA
rnacentral:snoRNA from 1 species